rnacentral:rRNA from 1 species
GAUGAACGCUAGCUACAGGCUUAACACAUGCAAGUCGAGGGGUAACGAGAGGAAAGCUUGCUUUCCUUGUCGACGACCGGCGCACGGGUGAGUAACGCGUAUCCAACCUGCCCCCAACUAAGGAAUAACCUUGCGAAAGUAAGACUAAUACCUUAUAAUUUCCCCAGAUGACAUCUGACGAGGAAUAAAGAUUUAUCGGUUGUGGAUGGGGAUGCGUCUGAUUAGCUUGUUGGCGGGGUAACGGCCCACCAAGGCAACGAUCAGUAGGGGUUCUGAGAGGAAGGUCCCCCACAUUGGAACUGAGACACGGUCCAAACUCCUACGGGAGGCAGCAGUGAGGAAUAUUGGUCAAUGGGCGGAAGCCUGAACCAGCCAAGUAGCGUGCAGGAUGACGGCCCUAUGGGUUGUAAACUGCUUUUAUACAGGAAUAAAGUUAGCCACGUGUGGUUAUUUGUAGGUACUGUAUGAAUAAGGACCGGCUAAUUCCGUGCCAGCCGCCGCCGUAA